GCCUGGAUGGCUCAGUCGGUUGAGCAUUUGACUUCGGCUCAGGUCAUGAUAUUGAGGUUCAUGAGUUUGAGCCCCAUAUCGGGCU
rnacentral:tRNA from 1 species